rnacentral:rRNA from 1 species
GAUGAACGCUGGCGGCGUGCCUAAUACAUGCAAGUCGAGCGAACAGACGAGGAGCUUGCUCCUCUGACGUUAUCGGCGGACGGGUGAGUAACACGUGGAUAACCUACCUAUAAGACUUGGAUAACUUCGGGAAACCGGAGCUAAUACCGGAUAAUAUAUUGACCCGCAUGGUUCAAUAGUGAAAGACGGUUUUGCUGUUACUCAUAGAUGUAUCAGCGCCGCAUUAGCUAGUUGGUAAUGUAACGGCUUACCAAGGCAGCGAUGGGUAACCGACCUCACAGGGACAUCCGACACACUGGAAGUGAGACACGGUCCCCACUCCUACGCGAGGCCGCAGCAGAGACUCUUCCGCAAUGCGCGAAAGGCUGAUGGAGCACCGCGGAGGGAGGCCUGAAGCUGUAAGGCUGCUAAAGCUAUGUAAUUAGGGAAGAAGAAAUGUGUAAGUAACUAUGCACAUAUUGACGGUACCUAAUCAGAAAGCCCCGGCUAACUACGUG